rnacentral:rRNA from 1 species
CCAAGCUUGCUUGGUGGAUCAGUGGCGAACGGGUGAGUAACACGUGAGCAACCUGCCCUGAACUCUGGGAUAAGCGCUGGAAACGGCGUCUAAUACUGGAUAUGAGCUGCGGAGGCAUCUUCGUGGUUGGAAAGAUUUUUCGGUUUGGGAUGGGCUCGCGGCCUAUCAGCUUGUUGGUGAGGUAAUGGCUCACCAAGGCGUCGACGGGUAGCCGGCCUGAGAGGGUGACCGGCCACACUGGGACUGAGACACGGCCCAGACUCCUACGGGAGGCAGCAGUGGGGAAUAUUGCACAAUGGGCGGAAGCCUGAUGCAGCAACGCCGCGUGAGGGAUGACGGCCUUCGGGUUGUAAACCUCUUUUAGCAGGGAAGAAGCGAAAGUGACGGUACCUGCAGAAAAAGCGCCGGCUAACUACGUGCCAGCAGCCGCGGUAAUACGUAGGGCGCAAGCGUUAUCCGGAAUUAUUGGGCGUAAAGAGCUCGUAGGCGGUUUGUCGCGUCUGCUGUGAAAACCCGAGGCUCAACCUCGGGCCUGCAGUGGGUACGGGCAGACUAGAGUGCGGUAGGGGAGAUUGGAAUUCCUGGUGUAGCGGUGGAAUGCGCAGAUAUCAGGAGGAACACCGAUGGCGAAGGCAGAUCUCUGGGCCGUAACUGACGCUGAGGAGCG